CGGAGCCCGCAGCCCGCAGCCCGCGCCCCGCCAGCCGGCACCUGGAGUCGCUCGCUUUUUUUUUUUUUUUCUUCUGUCCUGCCAGACCAGCUUUUCGGAUUUGGGGUUUCCUCCUCGCGGAGCCCAAAUGGGCGGAGCCGCCGUGGUUUGGCCGUGCGCCCGCACACCCGCUCCCCGCCGCGGCGCACACGCCUGCCCCCGGCGCCGCCGAGCCCUCGCGGGUGGGGAGAGGUGAGGGAACAGCGCUGUCGUGGGUGCCCUCGGCUCCCCGCCGCAGCCGUCCCGAACGCCUGAAGCCCCCAGCGGGGGAAGAGGGACGGCUGGGGGUGGGGGGAGGCAGAGCAGGACUUGGUGAGCUCAAACCCCUAACCCCCCCUCCCGCCCCCCAUUAUUAAUUCUUUCUCGGGGUAGUGGGAGGGGAGGCCCCAGUAGGACGGCGGGUGGACGGGGCUUGCAAUGGGCCCGCGUAGAAACUUGAGUGGCUCUGUGGCCGCUGAAGGCCCCCGAACUGUAAGCCUUGGCAGAGGGACUAGGUGUGAGCGCCGGGCGGAGCGGUGCUGGGUGAAGGUGGGAGGGCCCAGUCCUAAGGCCAAGUGCACUGGGAAGGCAAACGGGGGAGUUGGAGAAACGAGCUGAAUGCCAUAGGGACUGGUGUUCUACCUCGUGGAACUGCUGGAAGAAUCAGAUGAGAUACUGUGUGUCAUUAGCAUCUUCGUCUUACAGCUGAGGAAUCUGGGGCACAUAGAAGCCUCCAGCGAGAGACCGUGCUGUGUCCACCUGUCAUCUGAGACUGAAAAGCAUUGCCACCCCCUGGGCUAAGAGGAUGGUGGGACCACAUCACGGAAGGACCUGAGUCCCCAGUUGACUACGUGGAGUGGAACUGUUCAGCCCUGCAUCCCGCCAACCUGAACUGACCUGUCAAGGAAGUCAGAAACAAAUUUUCAUUCUGUUAAUGCAUUAAAACUUCGGGUUAUUUGUCCCAGUAGUUGGCCUAUCCUCAUUACUGCAAGAGAGAUGUAAGCAUGCGGACUAUCCUGGGCAGCAACGAAGUGGUUCUUCUUCCCCUGACCCGGCAGUGUGGGAAGGUUGUUGCAGAGCUCUCUCACUGGCUUCCGAUGCCUUUUAAAAAUUACUGGUGAGUGUGAGAGACACUCUAGGAUCUCAAGUCAGCAACAUGCUCCAGAAAAUAACGCUCGUGAUGGCGGCUGAGUUGCUAGUGAUUUAACUGAGCAAAUAAACAGCAUAGGAAAAAAAGAUCCCAGUGAUUGCUGGGGCGUGUACUCAGUUAGGGGUCAGGUGGGGGAGGUCAAACUGGAGCAAUCUGGAAAGCUUUUCUAUGUGUCCUGCCCCUCCAGAGCUAGAAGAACGGAAGCUAAAGCAGAUACUGAUUUGAUGGCACCUUCUUUCUUCUAGCAGCAGUGUGUGAUGUCCUUCUGUUUCUUCAGUGAAAAACUCUAGGGGAAAGGGAACUCAGAAUGAGAUCAAGAUAAACUUUCCCAGGAUCUCUGGGAUGCUGAAAGUGACUGCGGCGUCUCCGUGGGAAUCUGAAUGAAACCGAGGGUCAUCCACAGUGUAUCUGUAUCUUUGGACUGUGUUUUGUUUAGACGGGGAACAAUCUAGUCAGUGAUCUAUACAUUCACCCCCAGUGGCCAUUUGGGUUCCUUGCCCCGCUGCCUUCCUGGGGGAGAAGGAAGAUAUUUAUCCUCCCACAGGGUUUGUUUCUUUGCUUUAACAGAACACACUGAUCUCGGAACAAUAAAGCCAGUUACAGAUUAACUGAUCCCCGCGUCUCAGUUUCAUGGAACCAUCAAAGUCCAAGUUGGAUAGCUCUGGCUAAGAUUAUUUACGAGGUCCUACCCGAAUGUAUUCCGUGCAAGUUGCAAGCUAAGUCAGCGGACGACCCUGCGUCUUUUUUCCUGCUCCCCCAUCCAGCUAGACUGAGGACGGCAAACUGGCAUCAGCCGCCCACGCUCCUCCUACAGCCGUGGUCUGUCUGAAAAUCAGAGUGAUUUCGUACAAACGUCCAGGCUUAAAUUUCUCUUAAAAAUUAGGGCAGCCUAAAAAUACUGGACCCUCAUUCCCAUCCACCAACAACAGUCAGAGCUGGAGUGAAAUGGGCGUGCACUUUCCAGUGGGAUGCAGUUCCUAACACUCAGCUCUGGGGGACGUCUGUCUUGACCUGCCUGACUCCUGUAGGUGUUAGAGUUCCGGGCUCUCAGUCCAGUGCUCCUUGCUGUCUUCUCUGCUUAGCUCAUUUUUUUUUUUUUUUUUAAUAAAAAGAAGACUGGAUGGGGAUAACCUAGAUAGGCAUCUUAGAUCUACUAUAAUGUGACCUGGGGAAAGUCAUUUAUUAUCUCUAUGUUCCUUGUUUAUAAAAUGCCUAAAGCAAAAGAUGGACUGUUCUGGAGACUAGCCAAAGUAAGGCAUGAAGAAUAGGCCUCCAUAUUAGGUCUUCCCUUUCUCCUGAAGGACACUUACAUCUGUUUCCACCUUGGUCACCUUGUCUCUAGUCUUUUCACUCCUCCAUUCCAUAGUUUUAAAAUGUUUUAUUUACCCACCCUCGCAGCUCUGAUGGUCGAAGGAGAUCUAUGUCAGAUAGUCACACAGAUAAAUAUAGAGCUGUCGCUAGGAGAAGUGCUAUGAAGGAGAUGGCCUUCGCAUAAAGAGACCUUGUUCUGGGGCCUUCCAUAAAGGCAGAAAGGUCAGAUAAGGCUCUCAAGACCUGAAGGAUAAGGAGUUGUAUGAUUGAAGAGGGGUUUGAAGAAUAUUCUAGGUUGUGAAAACAGCAUGUGUGAAAGUUCUGUGGGGACAGGAAACACGGAGAAGAUGCAGAGCUAGAAGAAAUCCAGUGGGUCAGGUCAGAGGGAAUAAGGGAGAGUGGGGAUAUGCGGCUGGAGAGGAAGGUAAGAUUAAACAGCACUGUAGUCCAUGCUUAAGAGCUUUAUCUUUAUCUUAAAAGCAGUAGUAAAGCCAUAGAAGGUUUCCACAGGGGGCUUUACAGAAAGGUAACUCACUCUGUAGUGUGGAAAUCAGGUGGGAAGAAAUAUCAGAUUGAAUCCUAUGAAAGUGUCAGAUCCAGAUUCUUUUUGUCCUAGAAGAUGACCAUUUCCUAUGGUUCCACCUAAUAGAUGGAUGCAAGGUAGACCAGUUCGGGGACUGGGGAGAGAUGGCGAUGGACUGGACUAGGAUGGGGUAUUGGAAAUGGAGAGAAGGGCACAGGUCUGAUGGAUAUUUACAAGGUAAAAUCGAUGAGCCUUAGUGAUGGAUUGGUGUAGGGUAUCAAGGACGAUGCCCAGACUUGUGUGCCUUCUUGGGAAGUGGUGUCAUGCUUGAGUAGGGUAGACUGGCACAUGCCAGGUUUGGUGAGCAGGGAUGAUUCCACAUGGGUUCAAAGUGCCUUUGUAAGAACCAAGAGGAGAUCGCCUUUGAAAGUAUCUCUACAGAUAUAUCUUGCCUUGGCUUUAGCUGAAUUUCAGGGGGCACCGAGUGACCCUAGAUUAUGUUAAAGUACCAGCUGAAGGUUCCACAUCAUGGAAAUUUUAUAAGUUAAGGCCCUAAACCUAUGUGUGGUGUAGACUCAGAGUUUUAAUUUUUGUAAUGACUUUUCAUACUCCUUUCAGAACCCCAGGCAGACUAUGUUUGUGA